GACGAACCGUGCGAUCGUUAUUCGGAAUCACUGGGCUUAAAGCGCGUGUAGGCGGGGCGGUGCGUCGGUCGCUGAAAUCCCCCGGCUCAACCGGGGAAGGGGCGCCGAUACGACCGGCCUGGAGCGACGUAGGGGGAACUGGAACUUCCGGUGGAGCGGUGAAAUGCGUUGAGAUCGGAAGGAACGCCCGUGGCGAAAGCGAGUUCCUGGACGUCGGCUGACGCUGAGACGCGAAAGCGUGGGGAGCGAACCGG
rnacentral:rRNA from 1 species